GUGGGGAAUAUUGCACAAUGGGGGAAACCCUGAUGCAGCGACGUCGCGUGAGGGAAGAAGUUUUUCGGAAUGUAAACCUCUGUCCUAUGAGACGAAAAAAAUGACGGUAUCAUAGGAGGAAGCCAUGGCUAACUACGUGCCAGCAGCCGCGGUAAUACGUAGAUGGCGAGCGUUAUCCGGAAUGACUGGGUGUAAAGGGUGCGUAGGCGGCAUAUCAAGUCAGAUGUGAAAUACCCGUGCUCAACAUGGGAAAUGCAUUUGAAACUGAUAAGCUAGAGUACAGGAGAGGAAAGUGGAAUUCCUAGUGUAGCGGUGGAAUGCGUAGAUAUUAGGAGGAACACCAGUGGCGAAGGCGACUUUCUGGACUGUAACUGACGCUGAUGCACGAAAGCAUGGGGAGCGAACAGGAUUAGAAACCCUAGUAGUCC
rnacentral:rRNA from 1 species